rnacentral:rRNA from 15 species
CGCCAAUUAAAGUGGUACGUGAGUUGGGUUCAGAACGUCGUGAGACAGUUUGGUCCCUAUCUGCCGUGGGUGUUGGAAACUUGAGAGGAUCUGUCCUUAGUACGAGAGGACCGGGAUGGACAUACCUCUGGUGGACCUGUUGUGGCGCCAGCCGCAUUGCAGGGUAGCUAUGUAUGGACGGGAUAACCGCUGAAUGCAUCUAAGCGGGAAACCCACCUCAAAACCAGGUUUCCCUUGAGAGCCGUUCUAGACUAGGACGUCGAUAGGCCAGGUGUGGAAGCGCUG